rnacentral:lncRNA from 1 species
CAGGAAGUGACAUAUCAGGGCGACUCAUAUAUAAACAAGGGCAAGAAGGAAGUGGGCCCCUUCUCCUUUACUCCAGACUCACCAUGUGAUCCACCGGCAAGAGAGGGCACCAGGGAAGGCAUCCUCUAUAAGAUAAGUCUUAUAAAAUACAUAGAUUUAUGAUAAUUAAGACUGAGCUAACAGAUGAGAAAUCCUAGUCAUUGGCCAAGCAGCAUUUGUACCUAAUAGAAGUCUCUGUGUAUUAUUUGGGGCCCUAACUCGGCAGGCAGAACUCCGGCGGCUGGCAGAAAGCGCCCAUGUGGUGGUAGGACUCUGGUGGCUUUUGGCGGAAAGAUUUAUCGUAACAGAGGCUCUUGUCUCCCUCACUGGAAUUUAAAAGGGUUUCUCUGCAUAGCUCCAGCUGUCCUGGAACUAGCUCUGUAGACCAGGCUGGCCUCGAACUCAAAGAGGCCAGAAGAAGGCAUUGGGUCCCAGGAACUGGAAUUACAGAUGGUGCGAGCUGCUGUUGCUGUGUAGGUGCUGGGGCUCGAACCCUGGUCCUCUUUAAAGAAUCUGGCAGAGUGAAGUGGAAUGGGCCAAGGCUGUACACCCCCGAUGCCUGCUCUCAAUGACAUGCUUCCUCCAGCAAGGCUGUGUGUAUCCUGAUGGUUAGGAAGUACAUAACCUCCCCCACAGUGUCACCAGCUGGGGAAACAAAUGUUCAAAUACAUGAGCCUGUGGGGGACAUUUUCAUUCAAACCACCAUAAUCAGCUGCCUCUGUCUGUCUUGAUAUGUGUAUAUUGAAAGUUGCUUAUGUCAAAGGUGAAAGAGAGGUUUAGUAGAUGGAAAUAUUUAUUUAUGCAAAGCUCUGUUUACUUUUCAGUAUGGAUCUAAUUAGGGAAGCCAGUGCAAAGGUACCGUGUGGCAAUGCAUGUAUGUACCUGUGUUUGGUAGUGUGUGUGUGUGUGUGUGUGUGUGCGCGUGCACGCAUGAGCAUGUGUAAAUAGAGCUGAGUUAGCCAGGCGUUGGUGGCACACUCCUUUAAUCCCAGCGCUCGGGAGGCAUAGGCAGGCGGACCUCAGUGAGUUUAAGACCAGCCUGGUCUACAAGAGAAAGUUCCAGGACAGCCUCCAAAGCCACAGAGAAACCCUGACUCCAAAAACCAAAAGAAAAAAAAGCUGAGUCCAAGAGCCAAGAGAGGCACCCAGGAAAGCUGCAACUGUGCAGGGAGAAGAAAUACCUGAUUCUGGACUUGGAGGGGCUGAUAUUGCAUGGACUCUGUCUGAGUGAGGCCCCUAACCAUCUGUACUGCCCAUCUGAACAGGGCUCCUGAACCCCCUAUGAGAAUACUUCUUGAAGAAGUAAACGACCUUGUGUUUCUAGUGCUUUCUGUCAUCCUGUGUGUGUGUGUGUGUGUGUGUGUGUGUGUGUGUGUGUGUUGUGUUUUCUUGUGUUUGUAUAGGUGUGUGUAUGUGUGUGCAUAUGUGUUCAUGUGUGUCAAGGCCAGAGAGAUAACAUUAAGUAACUUCCCCUAUUGCUCUCUAUUUUAUUUAUUUUUUAAAGGUUUGUUCAUUUUUAUUCUAUGUGUAUGAGUGUUUUGCCUGCAUCUAUGUCUUUGCAUCACAUGUAUACUGAAGCCCAUGGAGGCCAGAGGAGGGCAUCAGAUCCCCUGGAACUGGAGUCACAGACAGUUGUGAGCUGCCAUGGGGGUGCUGGAUUCUUAAACUGGGUCCCCUGCAAGAGCUAAGUAAGUUCUCUUCACCCCCGAGCCAGCUCUCUAGCCCCCUUAUUUAUUUAUUAUUUAUAAGACAGGCCCUCACUGUGCAGUUUUUGUUGGCCUAGAACUUGCUGUACAGACCACUCUGGCCUUGAACACACUGAGAUCUGUCUCCGAAGCAGGGAUUAAAUGUGUGCCUCCCACCCAGCUCCACCUAAGCUGUUUGAGACAGGGUCUUUUGGUGAAUCUGGAGGUCAUCACCCUGGAGCUUGCUGGCUGGCCCCUGUCUCCACCUCUCUAGCCCUGGGGUUAUGGCUGUGUGCUGGCAACACUGGGCUUUCACAUGGGCAUCGGGGGUUAAAACCAGGUCCUGAUGAUUGUGCUGGAGCACUUUGUCCCAGAGACAUCUCCCCAGCCUCCCAUUAGCAGUCCCAACCCAAAGCUUAGUCCAUGGUACCCACUAGGCAGAUGGAGACAACUUUUGCCCCAGAUUGCCCAGUGCUACGGAGACAUUAGAUCUUUAGGAGUUACUUGUCCCCAUCCCUCCAUGGCAAUAGUACCGGGGCCCCGACUUUCCUCCCCCCAAUCCUUUCCGUGGCUUCUGGCUUCUGCCGUGAUGUCCCUUUGCCUAGGCUGGCUCCACCGGGAACCCGUUGACUGUGGAGGUGGUUCUGCAAACCCCAAACUAAGAGCCUGUUUUGACACGGCUGGGAGCAAAGCUGAGAGCAAGUCUCCAGAGCGGCAAUUGCUUCAUUCAGUUCUGGGAUGCCCCCCACACACCUAAAGUGAAGCGAUGAGCCCCUCCUCCCAGCUACCCAGCAAGCAGCCAUUUAUUCCCAAUUGCUCCCCACAGUAUAGGUCAAUUAGAGAGGAAGCCAGCAGGACUGGGGGCACGGGCAAUUCUUUUGAGGGCAGGAGACCCCUGGGCUGCCUAGUCACAGGCACCCCCUCCAUUCACAUGCUAUGUAGGAAUGCAAACUCCCAGAAAGGGAGUGGGGAUUCUGUCCAAUGCAGAGCCACGGAGUAAAUGGCCCUGGUCCUGGACACUUCCCAAGUGAGAUUUACAGUUCUGGCUCACUCUGCUCAGGCAGAAACAGCCACUUCAGCCAUAUCAGGAAUGGCCUCUUAUUGUUGACUUCCCUUUGGGGAUACGUUUUUCACAGCUAGCUAAUGCUUUUGUUUCAAGGUAGGAGGGGUUCUCAGUCUUUCCCUUCUGAAUUGUGGUUGGAUUUCUCUUUAAUCAUUUAUUUCCAAGUUCUUUUUGUAGGGCAUAUCACUGUAAUUAGCAGCCAAUGCUACAUUUCCACGGUUGCCUUACUUUCCAUGUGCUCCAUAGUCUCCAUGAAGUCCACCAUCCCAGCCGGGCCCAUCACGGUCUUCAUGCCUCUUAGAUAGAAGCCAUUUUGCACCCCACCCCAAUAAAUCUCUGGUAUAAGGUCCAUUUCAAGGUGUGAUUUUUUUUUUUUUUUUUGUGAUAUUCCUUAGCCUUCGAUCGUUGAGAUACUCUUGUUGCAAACCGUUUCAUUUUCUCUUGUGAUUUCAUAGUAUUUCGUUUCCUUUCCCCUUACAUUUUCAGAACACUGUUUCGGUCUUACCAGUGUUUUCUGGACCUUCCUGUCCAGCUGAAUUGCUCAGAACAAGCAAAUAGUUAGGUCGGAGCCACAUUCCAGGCCAUUUAAGUCAGAAUCUCCAGGGGCUGGGUCCUGCCUGGCCUGGGAAGAGAAACUUCCCUGACUAUUCUGAUGUGCUGAGAGAGAAGCAAGCUGAAUCCAACCCACGGAGGUAUCUCAAGGCCUGUGUGAAUGGAGAAAAGCGGAAACUCUCAGUAUGACUCAGCUGCAGCAGGCUUUGGGAGUGGACAUCAAAUGAUAACUACAAAAAAGCAAGAAACAAGCACAAAAGCCUAUCAGGAAACCCCCCAAAGAAGUGAAGUCUUGGGGGCUGGUGAGAUGUCUCAGCAGGUAAAAAGUGCUUGCACGCAAGCCUGAUGGCCUGAGUUCCGACCCUGGAACCUGCAUUUCAAAGUCAGACUCUGUGACACGUAGCUGUCCUCCUAUUGGAGAUGGGGUGUGGAAGCAGGAGAAUCGCCCAGAAGCUCUUGGGCCUGGUAGCUGGGAGUAUGCAGCCCAGUGGGAGAAAUGAGAGAACCUCUGCCCUCCACACACAUGCUGUGUGGUAUGUGUGCAUGCACUUUUAGGUUUGAAGGAUUUUGAAAUAUGGUGGAUUUGCAGAAAUUCCCAUUUGAGACCUCAGUCUGCAUAAACACAAGUCACCUGGGGGUCAAUGCAGCUGGACCUUCAUCCCCUUCCUUCAUAUCAGAGGCAAGUCUGUUUUCAAGAACACAGUGUGACUGGUUUACAAGCGGCCCGUGUCCCAUCAAAUGCAGUCAGUGUGGGCACUCCCAACUGCAUUUCAUUAAUGCCUCCAAAGACAUCGCAAAGGGUACAGCCUUCAUGCAAGGGAAGAUCAAAAUGCCGAGCAAGCAUUUUAUUCUUCUCUGAGUUACAGAUACCUUCUGACCCCAGGCAAACGCGCAGUGAGGCCCCACCCAUAAUUACUAAAUUACAACCCACUUGCCCUGUUUUAUUUUGCUGUAGUCCAAAGAGAACUUACGGUGAUCUUGAGAAGUACAAAUAGAACGAUCCGUCUAUGUGUGGGCUGAAACUUCUACAGUGUGGUUAUUCCUAUGACGAUGUCUCCAGGACAACAGACAGGGAAAGAUCUGCAGCCAUUUAUCAGAAGGGAAACAAUUUUCUUUUGGGCAAUAGUAUUUCCAUUUUACAAUGGGAAAAUCAUCCUGAGAGGUUAAAUAUCUUGCCUGAAAUCGCCCAGCGACUAGCCAACAGGGGCAGGAUUUAAACACAGGUCUGGACAGGAAAGUCAUGUUUGUUCUCACCUUGCUCUGGGCCCUUCACUGUGCCCCAGUGCUGACUGUGGCAAGUCCUUCUGCUUUGUUCAUCAGAGCUCAGAUUCAGGUUUUGAUUUCCUAAUAGAUACUACUGUGAGGUAGUGCAAAUGGCAGACUAGGCAACUCGUAGU